UCUCUCUCUCUCUCUCUCUCUCUCUCUCUUUCUUUCUUUCUUUCUCUAUUUCUCUAUUUCCUUUUGUUAUGCCCUUGUCCAGUUUUGGAAUGUGUGUAAUACUGGCUUUGUAGAAUGAGUCCUUUUCCUUUUUAUUUUAUGGAAGAAUUUUAGAAGCAUUGUUGUUAGUUUUUCUUUUAAGAUCUGAUAGAACUCCGCAGUGAAUCCACCCAUUCUGGGCUUUUCUUUGUUGGGAAACUCAUGAUUUAUUUUUCUCUGUCUAAAGAAAACACAUACACACAUUUUUAGGUCUUUUCACUAUAAAGACAAAAGUUACUCAAUAGCAGUGAAUAUUCUUUGUCUAGAUUUUGGCUUCUAAAUACUCUUUUUUUUCCGAAAAGGAUCAGUGUUUCUUGAAGAAAUCAUCUGUUCAGGUCAGGGAAGAUAUUAUACAAGAUGAAUCAAAGACAUCUUCCUACAUUAGAAAACAAGAAAAGUUGGGUGCCCGUGACAAACACCUGUCAUCCCAGCAGCAAGGGAGGCUGAGAUUGAACAAGUCACUGUUACACUCAAGAGGGUAAAGAACUGUGAGAAAGUCUGCUCGGUGGAAAGAAAUUGGACAUGGUGAUACGUGUCUGUCAUUUGAGGUAGUAAAACAGGAGGAUCAUGGUCCAGGCUGGGCAAAACUUAAGAUCUAUCUCAAAGUAGCUGAUACUAAAAAGGGCUACAGGGAUGGUACAGUGAUGGAGUGUCUGCUUAGGAGGUACAGGACACUGAGCUGAAAACCUAGCUCUAAGAAAUAGAGAAAGGGAGAGAGAGAAAGAGAAAAGUGGAGGAAGGAAAGGAGGGAAGGAAGGAAGGCAGGCAGGAAAACUGUAAGAAGUCAUUGUAGACAUGUCCAAAAUUUAAGGGACAACUUGAACACACUUUCUUUGUCCAGAGAUGGGGCAAUACAAACAUCAUAAAGAAAGACAAUAAUGAAUUGCAGAAUCACACAAACACACACACACACACACAGACCACAUACAUUCAUACAUAUUUUCACUUCUUACAUGAAAUUAUAAUUAUU